UACGGAGGAUCCUAGCGUUGUCCGGAUUUAUUGGGUUUAAAGGGUGCGUAGGCGGACCAUUAAGUCAGAGGUGAAAGUUUGCAGCUUAACUGUAAAAUUGCCUUUGAAACUGGCGGUCUUGAGUAUAGUUGAGGUGGGCGGAAUGUGUCAUGUAGCGGUGAAAUGCUUAGAUAUGAUACAGAACACCAAUUGCGAAGGCAGCUCACUAAACUAAAACUGACGCUGAGGCACGAAAGCGUGGGGAGCAAACAGG
rnacentral:rRNA from 1 species